GACGAACCGUGCGAACGUUGUUCGGAUUCACUGGGCUUAAAGGGCGCGUAGGCGGGUUAUCAAGUCAGGGGUGAAAUCUUUCGGCUUAACCGGAAAACGGCCUCUGAUACUGGUAGUCUUGAGGGAGGUAGGGGCAGGUGGAACUUCCGGUGGAGCGGUGAAAUGUGUUGAUAUCGGAAGGAACGCCGGUGGCGAAAGCGACCUGCUGGAUCUCUUCUGACGCUGAGGCGCGAAAGCUAGGGGAGCGAACGGG
rnacentral:rRNA from 1 species